CCAGCCCUGACCCACCCUGGCAGAUGGCCGGUACUCACCCAGCGAAGUCCCUGGAUGCAGCUUGGGCGCCGGUGCUCGAACACUAGCUGCUGGGCCCACCUGCCAGUGGCUCUCACCUGGCCAGCUGACCUGUGUUGGGGGGAGGAAAGUGGACAGCCAUCGGCCGGAGGAGCUGGACCUUCCUACCACCACCCCAGGCUUAGCGUCCUCUGGACUUGGACUGGUCAUGCGGAGCUCACACCGCGGUGCUUGCCCUAGCAAGAGGCUGCAGGAACCCUGGAGUGCCCCAGGGCAGCUCCACCCGGGAGUCCUGGAGGGGGAUGAGUGAGUCCCUGGCGCAGGAAAGGGUCAGCUUCCAGCAGGACAGGUUGCCGGGAGUAGCGAGGUGCAGGGCUGGGCAGAUGGGGUUAGUCCUGGGUGAGUAGAGGGCUGGGGGCGUGGGGGAGCCCCCACCCCUCCCCAAAGACUAAGGACUCCGAGCCUCCGCCUCCGUCCCAGAUGUAAAAGCCAGCUGGCACAGGGCGUUCAGGCGAAGCUGCAGCUGGCACUGGUCCGGGCGGGAGCUGUCACACCCCCUGCGCUGCCCGCCCCUUCCCCUCCCCGGGACAGGGGGCGGGGAGCAGGCACCGGCUUUACGGUAGGUGUGGGCAUAAGGGAAGGGGCAGGGCCAGCAGUUGAUGGAGUCCCUACCCGGGACUACGUCAGUGGGUUCAAGCUCUUGUCCUGAGGUUCAGCGGGUAGGAAGUGCCGAAGGGUAUCUGCCCCGGCCGCUGCCCGAGUGCCGGGUUAGGGGCGGUGAUGGCUGCACCCGCCGCCACGUGGCCAAGAGGAGAAAUGCAAACAAGGAAACUAGGGAAGGGGGAGGGAGUGAGUCAUGGCGGCCCCACCCGGGAGGGAAAUCCGGGCUGGGGCCGCUUCCUGGCCAGGGGCGUCCGGCCUCCCGUUUGGGCUCAGGGUUUCCAGAAGCCCGGGGCUGAAACUGGGCAGCCUUCCCGUGGGGGAAUCCCGUUGCCUGGCCUCCCACCUUUGCCCUCCCAAUCGCACACACUGGCGCGGGUGGGGAAAUUGAGGCUGGCGGGGAGGGACUGCAUUCCAGAUGGAGAGGGGCAAGUGGGUAGGUGUAAAGUGCCGGGACUUGACUCUGUGGCAGAGUUUCAAAGACAGGAUGGGCUUUGGGGGCCCCGCCCCGCCCACAAAGUGCUCCCCUGUGCCGAGCUAGGUGAAGGCAGAGCACACCUCCUCCUUGGGCCUCUUUCCACCGUCGCACAGAUGGCCGGCACUUCGUCUCGCUCGCUCCUGCUUUCUAGUGGACAGACUGUGACCUGGGACUGUGAUUUCCGGUAAUUGCUCAGGACAUCGGGCAUAUUAGCACGACUGAUUUAACUCCUCGAAUUCCGAUUCUAUCCUAUUGGCACGAAGUGGAAACUCUGAGCUUUGAACAAACGUUCCAGGUCUUCUGUAGUGCCCACCCUUGGAGACACACUAUUGAAGAUUUCUCUGCGCCUCUCUGAGGAAAGAGGAGGACCUGGAGACAAGUCUUCCUCACAACUCAGGUCAGCGAGAGAAGCAGUCAAUGCACAGGAAGCACCUGAAGAAAGCUAUUCAAAUGGGCAACAAUGAG